AUUGAACGCUGGCGGCAUGCCUUACACAUGCAAGUCGAACGGCAGCACGGGGGCAACCCUGGUGGCGAGUGGCGAACGGGUGAGUAACAUAUCGGAACAUACCCUAGAGUGGGGGAUAACGUAGGGAAACUUACGCUAAUACCGCAUACGACCUACGGGUGAAAGCGGGGGAUCGCAAGACCUCGCGCGAUUAGAUGAGCCGAUGUCCGAUUAGCUAGUUGGCGGGGUAAUGGCCCACCAAGGCGACGAUCGGUAGCUGGUCUGAGAGGAUGAUCAGCCACACUGGAACUGAGACACGGUCCAGACUCCUACGGGAGGCAGCAGUGGGGAAUAUUGGACAAUGGGCGCAAGCCUGAUCCAGCCAUGCCGCGUGUGUGAAGAAGGCCUUCGGGUUGUAAGCACUUAAGUGGGGUAGGGAAGGCGUCGUACGUGAAUAUCGUGCGGGAGUGACGUUACC
rnacentral:rRNA from 1 species